ACCCCAUUCCCUCGUCCUCCCACACCGCCGCCACCACACAACGCACACACAGGGUAAAGGAGCUCCUCGUCCCGAUCCCCAUGGCCACCAGCGACCGCCUCGGGCCUCCUCGCGCGCGCCCCUUCGACCGCCGGCGGGCCAAGCUGACUCAGCGGAUACCGAUGCCCUGUUUCUCCGUGCCACGCCCGAUGCCCGCGCCGGCAACCUCGACCUCCAGCCAUGGCGCCCGCGCCUCCUCUUGCCGACCUACUUUGCGCCGCCGUCUCCCUCCGGCUGCCCCGAGCCGCUCCUCAUCAUCGAUAUAUUGGAGCCCAGGAGCCAGACGCCACCGUCGAUGAUGACCCCUACUACGCAGAGGGUGUGUCCUACUACGUGCAGGCCGCCAACGAUGACCGGGAGUAGUUUAGGAGGAUCCCAGGCAGGAGGCAUGCGCCUCUUUCGAUCUGUAUCCCAGUUUGUGCUAGCCUUCUUAAGGCAAACUUGUUUAAUUUAUGUCUGUAAUCAGAUAUUGUUGCUUUCGCUGACUCGUCAUUGAUCGAGCACUUGUAUUCGAGCCCUCGAGGCCCCUGGCUUGUAUUAUGAUGCUUGUAUGACUUAUUUUAUUUUUAGAGUUGUGUUGUGAUAUCUUCCCGUGAGUCCCUGAUCUUGAUCGUACACGUUUGCGUGUAUGGUUAGUGUAUGAUUGAAUCGGGGGCGUCACAAGUACUCCGCCGACGACUCUCCUUGCCAAUGUCAAGGAGGCCAAACUAUGGGUCACUACGGGUGCUGGAAAACUAGGGCAAAUUUUGCCGCGAGAGUAAUGACCCAAUGUUGUUUCGGGUUAUUGUAGCACUAUCCAUAUUGUAACACAAACUAAACUCUACUACUCUCCUUAAUCAAUA